AAACGCUUACAAAGUUUAAAUUGUUUUGAACCAUGGUAACUUGUCUUGUCAUUGGGAAAACAGGAGUGUGACCGGCGUCUGACAGCAGCAGAAGAGGAAGGGGAGUGGAAGGACAUGCAGUGACCUUCUGUUCUCUGAGGAGGAUAAACCUGAGCAGACACACCUUGACCUCUAAUCUCACACGUCUCUAUAUACAGUAUGCGGUGUUUGAUAGAUCUUUACAUACAGAAUCUUCUCAACAUUUAUGCUCCAUCACUGUGCUCUCCACCCAUGUGGCCCUCAAAUUCUAUAUUCCCUCUUUAUACGACCCCUGAGGAUCUCAGUGGAGACUGAUAAAAAAUAUUUGGUGCCAGAGCGGUCUUGGGUGGACCCAGCAUCAAAGGGCAGUCAUGGCUCCAGCUGGGUGGCCACCGGCCUCUUAUUUCCUCCCACAUGCUCUCCUGCCAUUCAUUCUGAUCCAGGCCCCGUCAGGGCUGAGCGGACCCAUGGGAUCCGACCAACGGGACCGCUCAUGGCCACUUCCUGGUCAUUUAAGACCUGUGCCGCAGAAUGGAGGGCCAUUGUCCAGACUGUUAUCUGAUGGCCCGAGCCAAAAGGCAGACAAAGCCAAGUGCCUGGAGACUCACCCCUUCCGCUCUGCUGAGGAUACAGUGCUUUUUUUAAAGCAUGGCGAUGGAUGAUUAAAAAGAGGUAGACAGGUGAUGGGCCGCCAUACAGAGCUGGCAUUGUGUGUCUCAUCAAAGAGAGAGUUGUUGAAGAAGCUGUGCUGUUCUGGACUAUCAUACACAUCAGUGCAGGUGUGCAGAGGGGGAUGGUGGCAGGACCGCUCACAUUUCAGACAUGCUUAUUCUGCUACAAGAACGUAUAAGCCUGUGCAAAUAUAUCAUCUGUCAUUCUACAGAGUUCAGUCUUAUGAUGAACAUUAAACUCAGUUGAUUUAUUAUGUGAGACUAAGAUUGUGAAUAUUGCAACAGGCCUAUGUGAACCACUUACUGUGUAGAUUCACUGGUUCAGGAUUGACUCAGCACUGCUCUCUGCUGGACAACAACUUGCAAUACAGACCAUUGAAACUUGUUCCUCUGAGGACUGCAUUUUUAUAUGAAUCAAAAUCUUGGUUAAUUGAGAUAUUAAAUACAGUCAGUUUAAAAAUUAACCAUUCCAAAUUCAACACUACAAAUACUUAAAGUAUUUAAAGUAUUAAUAAUGAAAGCAUUUAACUAGUAUAAUUGCAGCAAUAAACACUUGAAUAUGAACAUUUUUUUAAAUGCUAAAUUUAACAAAUGACAAAAACAG